GAACGCAUAGUCCAAGGGUUAAGACGCCCACUCCAUGAACCCUCUACUAAGUAGUGCUUGCGCUGAUUGGACCGAAAGGACCACGGGCAGGACGCAGUUGGCGAGAAGCCGCAGCGUGGUUAAUGUGGGAGAUGCUAGUUCGAGUCUAGCUGCGUUCA